rnacentral:misc_RNA from 1 species
GAUGAAGAACGUAGCGAAAUGCGAAAAGUAAUGUGAAUUGCAGAAUUCAGUGAAUCAUCGAAUCUUUGAACGCACAUUGCGCCCGCCAGUAUUCUGGCGGGCAUGCCUGUCUGUGCGUCAUUUCAACCCUCAUGCCCCUAGGGCGUGGUGUUGGGGAUCGGCCAGCGCCCGCGAGGGACGGCCGGCCCCUAAAUCUAGUGGCGGACCCGUCGUGGCCUCCCCUGCGAAGUAGUGAUAUUCCGCAUAGGAGAGCGACGAGCCCCUGCCGUUAAACCCCCAACUUUCUAAGGUUGACCUCAGAUCAGGUAGGAAUACCCGCUGAACUUAAGCAUAUCAAUAAGCGGAGGA